UACGUAGGCAGCAAGCGUUGUUCGGAAUUACUGGGCGUAAAGAGUUCGUAGGCGGUUUGUCGCGUCGUUCGUGAAAACUUGGGGCUUAACUCCAAGCGUGCGGGCGAUACGGGCAGACUUGAGUACUACAGGGGAGACUGGAAUUCCUGGUGUAGCGGUGAAAUGCGCAGAUAUCAGGAGGAACACCGGUGGCGAAGGCGGGUCUCUGGGUAGUAACUGACGCUGAGGAACGAAAGCGUGGGUAGCGAACAGG
rnacentral:rRNA from 1 species